GGCCAUCUCGGUGGACGUCGUGCAUAGGAAUCCAGGGCACUAACUUCGGUCGUCAUCCUCCACGACUCCGGUGCUGGAGGUGGUGGUGGUGACGCCAAGACCGACCCUGCCGUGACUGCCGUCGCAGGGAAGUGAAGCUCCUGAAGGCCAAGGACACGCUGCUCCUCGGCCAGGUCAACUGCCUUCCACCUCACCCGUGUGGGUGCCGCCGCGACGCGGUCGCCGGUCUUUGUUCUGUCGGCACCGCCGCGAAGGGAGAGCAAGGCCGGCGACGGUGUGUUGGAGCUGGGGAAGAGGUCGACGAAGUGGUGUCCGGCGCUCGGGCAGGUGCCCACCAUCUCUGCCUCCAUGUUGGCGCCGCCGCGACGGUCGUAUUCUCCAUGUUGCGCUGGUUGAGGAGCUUGAUGCCGUCGACGAUCUGGCCGCUGCCGGCUGAGCGGAAGGAGGCGCUGUAGAAGGAUCCAAAGCCUUCCUCGCUGACCUUGAGCCUGCUGCUCAGGCCAUUGUUGGCUCUGUCGAGCUCCUACAGCCCCGAACACCCUCAGCCACACCAGGGCUGGCAACUUGGCGCUCGCUGAUGCUAAUGAUGGUUCCCUUUCCUUCCCAUUGUUGCUCCUCUUUCUAAAUUGAUUUCGUUGAUCCUUCACAACUGCUCUAUCAGGUGAUUGGUUGUUGUUUAUUUUUAGUGGUUCUUGGUUAGUUAGUUAUAGCUAUAACAAAUUAAAAAGGCAUCAGUAUGUAGUACCAGCAGCACAUCUCAAAUUGGUGAAUUCUCCGCAGCGCCAACAAUGCAACAACCACUAAUGGUACGAGUGUUGGGAGAAUGAACUGCCCAAUAUCCUAUUUAGUUAUUUAAUUAACGAGAAUGAAUGACCAGUAUCCCACUCAUAGGCGGACCCAACCGCCCCUAAGCCCCGGGCAUGCGCCCAGGCUUCUGGCUGGCGGCGCAACCUAUUUUGAUGAAUAUUUGAUAAAAAUUUGGACGGGCUUAUAGUGCGCCCAGGCUUGAUGAAAAUCUUGGGUCCGCCACUGAUCCCACUCAAUUAUUAGCCAUCUAUUGGCAUCUUAUUUUGUUAUUUUGGAUGUAGUGGCUGACACAGCUCAUCAGUUCAGAGCUCUCCCAUUGGUACUGCAUACACUGUGGCCUUUGGCUAUGGAUGGAGAAUGUAGAGAGGACAUACUUGCAUGUCAUUGCUUUCUUAUUGCUGUUGUUGUCUCGGUCUUGAUUUGGAUUUUUGUCCUCCCAGUAGAUUUGCAGAUUAUGCCGCCUCUUCUAUCAACUGUCAGGUAGCAGACCUCUGGUUUUCUCACUUUUAUACAUGAAUAAAUAUACAACCAGCCCAAAUUACUGAUUGUUUCUCCCGUGGGAAUUCAAAUAUUGCAAACAAUAUAUGGCUUCUUCCUCCUGACUUCCUUAUUCCUUAUAAGCCAGUAUUACAUAUAGCGUUAUCUGUUUAUAUAGUCAGCAUGACGUCCCUUUACAAUUGCAUAAUUAUGUUUUGAAGAAAGUGCGACCAAACUCUUAUCUGUCACUUUUUUUGAAGAAAUUAGUUUUAGAGCUGAUCAUCAUAAAAAACCAGAGGCUGAAAAUUGCGCCAAAAUAAAAUAACACACUCAGCCAAGUGCUCAGGCUUUUCCUGGGACACAAUGUUCCAUUUUGACAAGCCAUUUUGACAAACAAGCCAAACAUUGCACAAAGGGCACUUUUACAAAGUGAGCACACCGCAUUCUUGCAUGUGCAACUAAUGGAUCUUUAUAAGAAUAGGAAAACUAUACUAAGUUGGACACAUGCUUCAGAUUUCUGAAACCUGUAAGAAAAUUAUUGCUGUAUAAGUUACUGACAGAAAAGUCAGCUGCCUUCUAUGUAAAUUGAAAAUUCAGCUUUGGUCGAUGUUUUAGGGAAAUACAGUGGAGGCCUAUGUGCCAAGCAACCACAUAGAUCAAUUCAGAGCAAAUGAAGAAAGGUUCCAUCUUUCCAUUCCAAAUGUUCAUCAAUCAGUCUUUACAUUCCAGAUGUCCCAUGGUCAAUCGUCCUCCCUGAAGCAUGGAAAAAGUACAAACCAACAGACUUUUUGACAGUUAAUUGUUCAAGGUGUUCUUUUAGUACAACGGUAAAUGUAAUAUAAUAUUAUAUGAGCAUAAAGCUGCCGAAUGGCAGAAAGCUGAAGUAAUAUGACUAUAUGUAUAAUUAUAUGCCAAGUGGAUUUGAUUAAGCUACUAUAUUAUUAAUUGCUUCUGUAUGAUUUUAACAAAUGGCACUCCGUGAGGUAAUUUGAUAUACUGUCUGAGUUGGGAGAUCCCUUUCCCGCACUGAAAUACUAGCAGCUCAUCCGUAUUUCCAUAGAUGCAGAACAAUGCCAAUAAAGAUCUUUUGUUCUAUGCCUAACAAUCACCCUACCGUUUGUGGCACAUAGGGAGGAACCUGAACCUGCAAUAACGGGUUCUUUUACGAGAAUGUUUAAUGAUUUUCAGCUUCUUAUAUCGGGAACCUGACACUUUCCUCAUGGCCAGAUCUAUGUUGUUUUCUCAAAGUCUGAAACUACUUACAAGGUACAUUGUAUAUUCAAGGAAGUGUUUGCCUAUCUGUACAAAUACUUACUGCAUCCUACACAUGCACGUUUGUUUGUUUCUGUCCUUAUGUUUUCUAAUAUAUACAUAUGAUCGUGUAUCUUCAUGUAGUUUGCUGCAUUGUUUCCAGGUUGCAUUUGAGCACGGGCAUGUGAUGGUUCAUGCCAUUUUUCGUCUAUGAGUUAGCUGUAGAAUGUGCAAUGAAACGUAUGUAAUGUAUACCUUACACUGAAGUUUUAUGUAUACCUUAUACUGAAGUUUUCUUUCCUGUAGUUAAUUUUUCCUCCAGAUGUUCAGGUGUCCUGUACCCUGUACUGAAAACUUUUGUAAUAGCGGUCCUUUUUUUUCAAUAAAGAAAAUUAUAGCAGUUGUUGUUUUUGUGCUAUCAAUAAUAUGUGGUUAAUUUCAGUAGCAACUGAUGGUAGCUGUGCUAUUCAUCUGCUGUCUCUUUUUUCCAUUAGUAUACUGACUUUACAUUGUUCCACAAUUUCUGAAACUGAUAUAUCCUAUGUCAACCUACUCUGUGAACUAUAUAAUCACACUAAUCAAUUAUGCCAUGUAUGACAUGCCAGCAUCGCAGUCAGCCAAGGGGCGCGGCGUGCUGCUGCACAGCGAAGCGAGUUGGAGAGGAAACUAAUGGUGAGAACUUACUCUGCGAGUUUUUUUUGUCUUAUCAUUUGGAUAUUUGGAUUUUAUAUCAUUUCAAAUCUGUUUUCCUUUUCAAUGAAAUGAAACGCAAAUCCUUUUGCGUUUUCUCGAAGAAAAGAAGCAUUCUUUUGUCUCCAACUCCAAACAGAUAAGUUAAUUGGUUAGCUAUCUUACUCUCCGAACUCUAAAAUACAAGGCAUGUAAAUAGUGAUAUAUGUAAGCUGCACUUCAGCCUAUGAGAGGUUGUAACAUAUUGAAUCUUAUUAUUAGGGCAUCCCAUAUAACAGUUAUAUCUUUGCACAGUAACGCAUGAAUUGUUUUGCGUAGGAUAAUGAGUGGCUAAUCCACAUUGCUGCAGUGCAAAGAGUGGAAGGCAUGCUAGAUGACUUUCGGCCUCCUCUUUUACCCUCUCCAUUGCAGAAGACACACAUCAAAGGAAAUUGUGUUUCUUAGUAAUUUUGUAGUUACGUUUCCUAAAUAUGCUCAGCUUUGCUCAGUAAUUUUGUACUUACAUUUCUUCUCUGAAUUAUGUUUUCAGGAAUUUUUUAGUUAUGUUUCUUCAAGAUAUUCUCUAUUUGCAAUAAAUGGGGACAGACUGAAAUGCA